GCGGAUGGCUGGAUGGCCGCGGGCCUUGAGGUUCGAGGAAAGUCCGGACUCCGAAAAGCACGGUGCCGGGUAACGCCCGGCGGGGGUAACCCUAGGGAUAGCGCCACAGAGAACAGACUACCUGUCCUGCGGGACAGGAAAAGGUGAAACGGUGGGGUAAGAGCCCACCGCGCGGGUGGCAACACCAGCGGCAUGGCAAGCCCCACCGGGAGCAAUGCCAAAUAGGGACCACGCGUGGUGGUGAUCCUGCUCGCAGGAUAUCAGCCACGGGCAGGCUUGAGGCUCAUGUGGUUCGGGUUGGCAGCUAGAGGGCGUCUGGCAACAGACGCUCCAGAUGAAUGGUCAUCCAUCCGCCUUUGGCGGAGGACAGAAUCCGGCUUAUAGGCCGUCCGCGCAU
rnacentral:RNase_P_RNA from 1 species